UACAGAGGGGGCCAGCGUUAUUCGGAAUUAUUGGGCGUAAAGGGCGCGUAGGCGGCCAUGCGUGUCUUCCGUGAAAUCCCUCGGCUUAACUGAGGACGUGCGGAAGAAACUGCAAGGCUCGAGUCCGGGGAGAGGAGGGUGGAAUUCCCAGUGUAGCGGUGAAAUGCGUAGAUAUUGGGGAGGAACACCCGGUGGCGAAAGGCGGCCCUCUGGACCGGGUACUGA
rnacentral:rRNA from 1 species